rnacentral:rRNA from 1 species
UACGAAGGGGGCUAGCGUUGCUCGGAAUUACUGGGCGUAAAGCGCACGUAGGCGGCUUUCUAAGUCGGGGGUGAAAUCCUGGAGCUCAACUCCAGAACUGCCUUCGAUACUGGAAAGCUCGAGUCCGGGAGAGGUGAGUGGAACUGCGAGUGUAGAGGUGAAAUUCGUAGAUAUUCGCAAGAACACCAGUGGCGAAGGCGGCUCACUGGCCCGGUACUGACGCUGAGGUGCGAAGGCGUGGGGAGCGAACAGG